GCAGCACACUUCAUGUCAUACGUCAGUUUCAAACAUAGCCCAAAUCAUCCGUGGAAAUGGCAGCAAUUAUGGAGCUGGGACUUCAUAUAGAUUCAUUGGUUAUGAAGGCCAGAAGAGAUCAUUGUGAUCAUCUCAUUUGACCUUCUAUAUAACACAGUCCAUAGAACUUCCUUGAAUUAAUUCCUGUUUCCGCUACAGUAUAUCCUUUGGAAAAAUAUUCAAUCUUGAUUUAAAAGUAUCCAGUGAUGGAGAAUCCACCACAACCCUUGAUGAAAUUUAAGGGAAAUAAAUUGGGUGUUUCAGAACAAAUACCUCUGUGAAGGAACUCAGCGGCAGCACUGCAUGGAAUGCAACCAAAGCUGUACUUAGAGACCAUAACACUGGAACUGAAGCAGGAAUUCCUUCCCAGGAGAGAUCCCACUGGGCUCCCCAGGCAUCCCUGCAGGAGGAGAUAAAGAGACAACUGUGGGUAGCCAGGAAGAGUAAAUAAAACAGAAGGAAUUGAAAUCCUUUCCACGGUUUAAAGAGACCUAGUGUCACAAGAGCAUCCCAUUGCCUCUUUUUUCAGGCGCAUUCCACUUGAACUGCCAAAGGGACAAGAGGUUGUGCUGUUUUGCAGUGAUACAUCAUGUUGCGGAAGGCAGGGGAAUCUGGACACACACAUUAUCCUAAUGGUGCAUUAAGCCUGGAACAUUUUAUAAAAAGAGACCUAGUCUUCUGAAAACCACAGAAUAGCCAAAAAUAUAUACGCUAAUCUUCCAAUUAGGUAGACUGAGACAAUGUAUUUUAAGCUCUUGUGUACAAUUUGUAUUCUGUAAAAUAAAAUGCUACUGUACUGA